CUCGUUAUUUUCGUAGCCUUCGCCAAUUUGGCAAUCGGACAGGAUGUCUUCGGCUUCGUAGACCAAUUCUCGAAGAUCGGAGACGAGUCUGUAUGUUGGAGCUGCGAAUGGAAUUCCGUCACGGCUCUGCCUCUGUCUUCGAGGCUGCUCAACAGUUUUUCCAGAAACACGUUAACCACAGCAUCCACCAUGGCUCCGACCUGUAAGGAAGGAAAGUCGUCAUCAAUCCACCAUGAGAUUCUGCGUGUGACGGUGUGAAAGGGUCAAACUUUGAUGGAAAAUGGUCAGUUGGAUUUUCUCGAGAAAAUGGAGGAGAGAGACACUUACAACAACAGCUUGGGGGGCCCUGGCAGGAUCUGAACCUCGAAGAUCUAAGUUUCACCAAAGGAAGGAGAAGAGAACGUGAGAGACGAAAGCAUCUCAACAAAGUCUUCAAGAACAGCAAAGUCAACUGGUCAACUCUUCUACCAGGAAUUUUUCCAAGGGCUUUUUUUUAUUAUUUUCUCACGAAAAUUCCUUAUACCACAGAACAAAAAUGAUAUUUUCAAAACCGUGCUUUCACAACUAUUUCGCAGAAAGUGGACCAAAGGCGAGGCUAGGAUUGACUCGUUCCUUGACCAUAUCGGGGUUGACCGACGGCCAAAUGUAUAGCAAGUCAGGCCCAUAUUAUUGGUAUACAAUAAAGUUUUUGAGAGGCACAUUACGCAUAACGUCAUACAAUAUGGGCUUUUAUUAUUACAUUCAUGGGUCUGUAUUAAAAGUUCAUAUUGAUCUGAGCAUCGAGAUAUAUA